GACGAACGCUGGCGGCGUGCUUAACACAUGCAAGUCGAACGGAAAGGCCCUGCUUUUGUGGGGUGCUCGAGUGGCGAACGGGUGAGUAACACGUGAGUAACCUGCCCUCGACUUUGGGAUAACUUCAGGAAACUGGGGCUAAUACCGGAUAGGAGCUCCUGCUGCAUGGUGGGGGUUGGAAAGUUUCGGCGGUUGGGGAUGGACUCGCGGCUUAUCAGCUUGUUGGUGGGGUAGUGGCUUACCAAGGCUUUGACGGGUAGCCGGCCUGAGAGGGUGACCGGCCACAUUGGGACUGAGAUACGGACCAGACUCCUACGGGAGGCAGCAGUGGGGAAUAUUGCACAAUGGGCGGAAGCCUGAUGCAGCAACGCCGCGUGCGGGAUGACGGCCUUCGGGUUGUAAACCGCUUUCGCCUGUGACGAAGCGUGAGUGACGGUAAUGGGUAAAGAAGCACCGGCUAACUACGUG
rnacentral:rRNA from 1 species